AAACCCUGUUGGCUUCCUGGUUGUUUGUGACUCAAUUAAAUUAACAAAUUGGUCUCUUUGCCCAGAGUCUUUCCACCGCCUGUAUUUCAGCAUAUGUCAGUCAGGGCGGCCCAGCAUCUCCAGAUGGCUUCGAGCUCCCUCUACAUAUCCGAUGCCAGCUCAUCACUGGAGAAGUGUGUGUGUGUGGGGAGAGUCCCAGAGACAGAGACAUAAAGCCACAGUGGGGAGAGACGGAAAUGAGGUAGGCAAGACAGAAAGAAUGAGAGGGAGGAAGAGGGAAGGGACAGAAGGCAGGAGAGCCUAGAUUCUUCCUCCUAGUCUAAAAGGACCCUCACCUUCGGGGCUGGGCCUGUGGCCAAGUGGUUAAGGUUCCACACUUUCUGCUUGGGAGGCCUGGGUUCACAGGUUCAGAUCCCAGAUGCGGCCCUACUCCACUCAUCAGCCAUGCUGUGGAGGCAUCCCACAUACAAAGUAGAGGAAGAUGGGCACAGAUGUUAGUUCAGGGCUAAUAUUCCUCAAAUGAAAAGAUAAAAAAAAUAAAAGGACCCUAACCUUCCUGCAGGGAGGGUCUCUCCUCCACGAGGUUGGUGGGGGGUGUCUGAAGAAGACUCUCUCAGCCUCGAGUUCUCUGGCAGACAGUGAAAUUGGUGGUUCUCAAAGUGUGUUCCCUGGACCAGCAGCUCAGCAUGACUUGGGAGCUUGUCAGAAGUGCAAAUUCUCCUGCCUCACCCCAGACCUCCUGAAUCAAAGACUGCGGGGUAGGGCCCAGCAUCUGUGUUUUAACAAGCCCUCCAGGUGUUUCUGCUGCACGCUCGAGUUUGAGAACCACACCCUGAAGUUGCAGUGCUUGGCCUCCAGUGCUGUGAACUGCUCUCAGUCCCCGCCACGGGGCUGCUGUCUUCCAAGAGGAGUGACGUGGGUGGUCUUGAGAGCUGGCACCAUCUUCAGAGUCACUCAAAUGAUACCUCUGUAGCCUUCAAUUACCUGUAGGAAUUGGGGGAACAGGAGGAAGUGUCAAGGAACAGCCCAGAGGAAGAAAAAAGACAACCUGGAGAAAAGGAUGCUUAGAAGGGCAAGGCUGCAGCUGGUGCGUGCAGCUCUUAAGUAGCAGGCUCUCAGCUCCUGCCAUGCAGGACGAUGAUGGAAAGGGGGCACUAAUGGGAAAGCAGUCUGACCCCAGCUUCAGGUGAAUUUGAUGGAGGGUCAAUUUGGGGAUAAUUGUGGUGCGCUGUCUGGAUUCUGCUGGGAGAGGGCAGAUGGGGACAGGAGCAGGGAUGGGUAGAGGGUAGAAGGGAGAGGAGUGGGGGGCAGGGAGGGAGAGAGAUGCUGGGGAACAGGGGGCCCAGGCAGAGGCCCCUGCUCCAGGCCUGGAGUUUCCAGAAGACCAUCAUCAUUGUCCAGCCAUCCACAUUGUUCUUCUGGCUUCUGAGGCUGGAGACCAGGGGUGAGGAGCUUGGUGUGGCCCUCAAGGAGAGGCCUGUUCUCAUUUCAGCGGGUGUGGGUAUUAAGUUUGGUCCAUGUGCUGGCAGUGGGCAGGAUGGUCAGUGACCUCAAACUCAAAGUCUUCAGGCUCCGGGCAGAUAACAUAAGAGAGAAGCACAGCCUGGGAGGAAAUGCCAGGGCAGACACUGUCUCCUGGGGAUUGUGUGAACUGGAAAUACAGGCCCUGUCUAGACCGUUCAGCAGCCACCAGACUCCAGCCUGUUAGCACCCAGAAACGUCACUCCCCGCCACCAGGCUGAUCAAAUCCAGAUGGAGGUAUACAGCAGCAGGUCCUGCAAGAGAAGUUACAAGAAGCUCACAUACUGCCUGCGUGCCAGGGGCAGCUCUGUCUGGGCUGGCCGUGGGGAACGGGGCUUCGAAGGGUCCCAGACUCCAUUCUGCAGCGAUGCGGGGCAGCAAAGCAUUUUACAGUGAGGACCACCAUUGUCUGAUCCCUCUAAGAAUGGGUCUUGAAUUUCUGAUGCCAGUUUCUCCCUCAAGGGCCAGGGUAAUGCUGGGCAUCCUGCGUGCAUUCUUUCCAUAAGCCCCCUGCCUUCAGGAAUAUAAAAUGUUUAUCUUUUCUGCUUGACACAGCACAGCUGAGAACCAAAAAGUGAAAUAACCUGUGCUGAGUCAUCAGCCGGGAGGCGGGGGAUUGGAGGCAGGAAAAAUAAAUGUAGCAUCUCCCCCUGGGGGCUCCCGUCAAAGACUGUCGAAGGGAGGGUCCGACAGGUAGGGAGGAGAGGGGGGAGCUUGAGGAGCAGGACUCCCCGUGGUCUGUACUGGUCCAGGAACCCCUUUGGCUGUGGCCUUGAGCAGCAGCUGCAGCUCCUCUCACCUUUCCCUCCUCCAGAUGUCCUCAAACAUCCUAAUAUUUAUUUCUACUUGGGAACAGCAGCAAAUCAACAAAGGCAUGUCAAGGACGCCCUCACCUUCCUCUAUGAGGCUCCGAGCCCUAUUUCUGAUUUUCUAAUUGGUAUGUCUGGGCAUCAGGGGGAGUUCAUUGUGGUUGGAAAACCAGAGGUCUCAGGAUACCUGCAAACUAUUAAAAGUGGUUUCUCUUUUUAAACAUUUUGUAUUAAAGAGCAUGGUUACGUUUUUACUUCCUAUCCUUCUGUACGAUUUGAGGGUUUUUUAAACGAAAACAAAGAGCAGGAGCGAGUGAAUUCAACUCUGGGGCUGCUUUGAACUCUCGUCUCUGCCAAUUAACCCUCCCGGGGAAGGCUGAAGCGCCUCUUAGAAGUGGCAGGCGGCCCAGUGUUUCGUUAGUUCGAAUCCUGGGCACGGACAUGGCACUGCUCAUCAGACCACGCUGAGGCAGCGUCCCACAUGCCACAACUAGAAGAACCCACAACGAAGAACAACGAAGAAUACACAACUAUGUACCGGGGGGGCUUUGGGGAGAAAAAGGAAAAAAAAA
rnacentral:lncRNA from 1 species